rnacentral:rRNA from 1 species
UAAGGAAUAUUGGUCAAUGCCCGGAAGGGUGAACCAGCCAUCCCGCGUGAAGGAUGAAGGGGCUCUGCCUUGUAAACUUCUUUUGAAUGGGACGAAAAAGCCUCACUUGUGAGGAACUGACGGUACCAUUAGAAUAAGCACCGGCUAACUCCGUGCCAGCAGCCGCGGUAAUACGGAGGGUGCGAGCGUUAUCCGGAAUCACUGGGUUUAAAGGGUGCGUAGGCGGCUGUAUAAGUUAGUGGUGAAAGGCUGUGGCUUAACCAUGGGAUUGCCAUUGAUACUGUACGGCUUGAAUUAGGAUGAGGUUGGCGGAAUGUGACAUGUAGCGGUGAAAUGCUUAGAUAUGUCAUGGAACAUCGAUUGCGAAGGCAGCUGACUGGACCUUAAUUGACGCUGAGGCACGAAAGCGUGGGGAGCGAACAGGAUUAGAUACCCCUGUAGUCCCUGAGCGGGCUGGCAAGGCGCAU